UCUGAACCCAUAAUAUCCAAGUCACAUUUAAAAAAAUAAAUAAAUAAAUUAAAAAAAAAAACUCAAAAUCAUAAUCCAAUAGAAUUCUAAAAUUUCCAAUUGACCCCAAAUUCUUCUUCUUCCAUCUUCUUCUUCUCCAUACAUUCAUCUCCAGCGAUAAAACUCGGGUGACGGAAGCUACACUGAAUUGCCUUUAGCUGGCUUCAUUAUCUCAUCAAUAUUAUACGUCUUAGAUGACGAAAGGGAUGUCUAGCGAUCACGCCUUCGAAAAUUCCCCUCUAUUAACUUCUCAAUCUCUUGCUUCAACUAUGAUUCACCAAUAUCAGUCGAAACAUAUUUCAAAAGGGUAGUGUUGAUUCUGCUGAACAUUUUCUUUUCCCGGGUUAUAUCCUGCAUUAUCUGUAGCAAGAUGCUAUACAGCGGACCCAAAGCGCUCUUCAUUGAAGAGUAUGUAAAUGGGUUGUUAAAAUCAUAAAAAUCUAAAUGGGAGACGGGUGUUUUUUUAAAGACAUUGAGUCUUGUUGUGGCAGCAGUGAUUGUAGGAAAGUUGAAGGUGAAUA
rnacentral:lncRNA from 1 species